rnacentral:rRNA from 1 species
UACGUAGGAGGCGAGCGUUGUCCGGAUUUACUGGGCGUAAAGCGCGCGCAGGCGGCAUGGCAAGUAAGGUGUGAAAUCUCCCUGCCUAACGGGGAGGGUGCAUUUUAGACUGCCAAGCUAGAGGACGGUAGAGGGGGGUAGAAUUCCUGGUGUAGCGGUGAAAUGCGCAGAUAUCAGGAGGAACACCAAUGGCGAAGGCAGCUCGCUGGGACGUGACUGACGCUGAGACGCGAAAGCGUGGGGAGCGAACAGG